UAGGGAAUCUUCGGCAAUGGACGAAAGUCUGACCGAGCAACGCCGCGUGAGUGAAGAAGGUUUUCGGAUCGUAAAACUCUGUUGUUAGAGAAGAACAAGGACGUUAGUAACUGAACGUCCCCUGACGGUAUCUAACCAGAAAGCCACGGCUAACUACGUGCCAGCAGCCGCGGUAAUACGUAGGUGGCAAGCGUUGUCCGGAUUUAUUGGGCGUAAAGCGAGCGCAGGCGGUUUCUUAAGUCUGAUGUGAAAGCCCCCGGCUCAACUGGGGAGGGUCAUUGGAAACUGGGAGACUUGAGUGCAGAAGAGGAGAGUGGAAUUCCAUGUGUAGCGGUGAAAUGCGUAGAUAUAUGGAGGAACACCAGUGGCGAAGGCGGCUCUCUGGUCUGUAACUGACGCUGAGGCUCGAAAGCGUGGGGAGCAAACAGU
rnacentral:rRNA from 1 species